rnacentral:rRNA from 1 species
UUACAGCGAAGAGUUUGAUCCUGGCUCAGGAUGAACGCUAGCGGCAGGCCUAACACAUGCAAGUCGAGGGGCAGCGCGGGUAGCAAUACCUGGCGGCGACCGGCGCACGGGUGAGUAACGCGUAUGCAACCUGCCCUCCACAGGGGGAUAGCCCGCCGAAAGGCGGAUUAAUACCCCACGGCCCCGCGCCCCGGCAUCGGGAAGCGGGUAAAGGAGCGAUCCGGUGGAGGAUGGGCAUGCGUGCCAUUAGCUGGUUGGCGGGGUAACGGCCCACCAAGGCGACGAUGGCUCGGGGGUCUGAGAGGAUGGUCCCCCACACUGGUACUGAGACACGGACCAGACUCCUACGGGAGGCAGCAGUGAGGAAUAUUGGUCAAUGGGCGGAAGCCUGAACCAGCCAUGCCGCGUGCAGGAAGACGGCCCUACGGGUUGUAAACUGCUUUUCCGGGGGAAGAAUAAGGCCCACGCGUGGGCCGAUGCCGGUACCCCGGGAAUAAGGAUCGGCUAACUCCGUGCCAGCAGCCGCGGUAAUACGGAGGAUCCGAGCGUUAUCCGGAUUUACUGGGUUUAAAGGGUGCGUAGGCGGGCCCCUAAGUCAGCGGUGAAAGUCUGCGGCUCAACCGUAGGAUUGCCGUUGAUACUGGGGGCCUUGGAUUCGGUCGAGGCGGGCGGAAUGCGACAUGUAGCGGUGAAAUGCUUAGAUAUGUCGCAGAACGCCGAUUGCGAAGGCAGCUCGCCGGGCCGACAUCGACGCUGAGGCACGAAAGCGUGGGGAUCGAACAGGAUUAGCUACCCUGGUAGUCCACGCCGUAAACGAUGAUGGCUGGAUGUUGGCGAUACACCGUCAGCGUCUGAGGGAAACCAUUAAGCCAUCCACCUGGGGAGUACGGCCGCAAGGCUGAAACUCAAAGGAAUUGACGGGGGCCCGCACAAGCGGAGGAACAUGUGGUUUAAUUCGAUGAUACGCGAGGAACCUUACCCGGGCUAGAACGUGGUCGGAGUGUAUGGGAAACUGUACAGCCCUUCGGGGCCGGCUACGAGGUGCUGCAUGGUUGUCGUCAGCUCGUGCCGUGAGGUGUCGGGUUAAGUCCCAUAACGAGCGCAACCCCUAUCGCUAGUUGCCAGCGGGUCAUGCCGGGGACUCUAGCGAAACUGCCAGCGUAAGCUGUGAGGAAGGUGGGGAUGACGUCAAAUCAGCACGGCCCUUACGUCCGGGGCUACACACGUGUUACAAUGGCCGGUACAGAGGGCAGCCACCCCGCGAGGGGGCGCUAAUCUCCAAAACCGGUCCCAGUUCGGAUCGGAGUCUGCAACCCGACUCCGUGAAGUUGGAUUCGCUAGUAAUCGCGCAUCAGCAACGGCGCGGUGAAUACGUUCCCGGGCCUUGUACACACCGCCCGUCAAGCCAUGGGAGCCGGGGGUACCUGAAGUCCGUAACCGCGAGGAGCGGCCUAGGGUAAAACCGGUGACUGGGGCUAAGUCGUAACAAGGUAGCCGUACCGGAAGGUGCGGCUGGAAUACCUCCUUUC